rnacentral:rRNA from 1 species
AUAAGAGUGAAAGGCGCUUUCGGGUGUCGCUGAUGGAUGGACCCGCGGUGCAUUAGCUAGUUGGUGAGGUAACGGCUCACCAAGGCCACGAUGCAUAGCCGACCUGAGAGGGUGAUCGGCCACACUGGGACUGAGACACGGCCCAGACUCCUACGGGAGGCAGCAGUAGGGAAUCUUCGGCAAUGGACGAAAGUCUGACCGAGCAACGCCGCGUGAGUGAAGAAGGUUUUCGGAUCGUAAAACUCUGUUGUUAGAGAAGAACAAGGACGUUAGUAACUGAACGUCCCCUGACGGUAUCUAACCAGAAAGCCACGGCUAACUACGUGCCAGCAGCCGCGGUAAUACGUAGGUGGCAAGCGUUGUCCGGAUUUAUUGGGCGUAAAGCGAGCGCAGGCGGUUUCUUAAGUCUGAUGUGAAAGCCCCCGGCUCAACCGGGGAGGGUCAUUGGAAACUGGGAGACUUGAGUGCAGAAGAGGAGAGUGGAAUUCCAUGUGUAGCGGUGAAAUGCGUAGAUAUAUGGAGGAACACCAGUGGCGAAGGCGGCUCUCUGGUCUGUAACUGACGCUGAGGCUCGAAAGCGUGGGGAGCAAACAGGAUUA